rnacentral:lncRNA from 1 species
GGAGGAGAAGAAGGCGAAGACGCUGUUGACGGAGAGGGAGAUGAGGAGGCACUGCCUUCGGCCCAGGCGGUCGGCCAGCCCGCCCCACAGGAACGCGCCCACCAUCAUGCCCAGCAUGCCCUUGUUGGAGUCGGAGAGGCACAUGUCCUUCUCGGCGCUGGGCAGCACGAAGCCCACCACGAACACCUCCACGCCGUCAGCCAUCAGCGCCAGUCCCAGCACGAAGUAGAGGCUCCACUGGAAGCGCCCGUGGCCGCACUCCUGCAGGAUGAGCUCGUACUGCUGCGCCAGCUCCUCCUUGUCCUUGCGCCGCUGCCCCUCGCUGUCAUCGAA